rnacentral:ncRNA from 1 species
CUUGGGAAACAUGCAAGUCGAACGGGAAGUGGUGUUUCCAGUGGCGAACGGGUGAGUAACGCGUAAAAACCUACCCUUGGGAGGGGAAAAACAACUGGAAACAGUUGCUAAUAUCCCGUAAGCUGAGGAGCAAAAGGAGAAAUCCGCCCAAGGAGGGGCUCGCGUCUGAUUAGCUAGUUGGUGAGGCAAUAGCUUACCAAGGCGAUGAUUAGUAGCUAGUCCGAGAGGAUGAUCAGCCACACUGGGACUGAGACACGGCCCAGACUCCUACGGGAGACAGCAGUGGGGAAUUUUCCGCAAUGGGCGAAAGCCUGACGGAGCAAUG